AUUGAACGCUGGCGGCAUGCUUUACACAUGCAAGUCGAACGGCAGCGCGGGCUUCGGCCUGGCGGCGAGUGGCGAACGGGUGAGUAAUACAUCGGAACGUGCCCAGUAGUGGGGGAUAGCUCGGCGAAAGCCGGAUUAAUACCGCAUACGACCUGAGGGUGAAAGCGGGGGAUCUUCGGACCUCGCGCUAUUGGAGCGGCCGAUGACAGAUUAGCUAGUUGGUGGGGUAAAGGCCUACCAAGGCGACGAUCUGUAGCUGGUCUGAGAGGACGACCAGCCACACUGGGACUGAGACACGGCCCAGACUCCUACGGGAGGCAGCAGUGGGGAAUUGUGGACAAUGGGCGAAAGCCUGAUCCAGCAAUGCCGCGUGUGUGAUGAAGGCCUUCGGGUUGUAAAGCACUUUUGGCGGGAACGAAAAGGACUGUGCCAAUACCACGGUUCGAUGACGGUACCCGCAGAAUAAGCACCGGCUAACUACGUG
rnacentral:rRNA from 1 species